CGAACGCUGGCGGCGUGCUUAACACAUGCAAGUCGAACGGUGAAGCGCCUUCCUUUUUGGUGGGUGUGGAUGAGUGGCGAACGGGUGAGUAACACGUGAGUAACCUGCCCCCUUCUUCUGGAUAACCGCAUGAAAGUGUGGCUAAUACGGGAUAUUCUGGGUCUGUCGCAUGAUGGGUCUGGGAAAGAUAUUGUUUCGGUGGGGGAUGGGCUCGCGGCCUAUUAGCUUGUUGGUGGGGUGAUGGCCUACCAAGGCGGUGACGGGUAGCCGGCCUGAGAGGGUGGACGGUCACACUGGGACUGAGACACGGCCCAGACUCCUACGGGAGGCAGCAGUGGGGAAUAUUGCACAAUGGGCGCAAGCCUGAUGCAGCGACGCCGCGUGAGGGAUGGAGGCCUUCGGGUUGUGAACCUCUUUCGCCAGUGAAGCAGGCCUGCCUCGUUUGUGGGUGGGUUGACGGUAGCUGGAUAAGAAGCGCCGGCUAACUACGUG
rnacentral:rRNA from 1 species